AAUAAAUAAAUUAAUUAAAAAAUAAAAAAAUAAAAAAAAGAAAGAGACUUACUGACAAAGUCAAAGGCCCCGAUUAGGUUUAGGUGAUCAAAAGCCUUUUUUUGUUUUCACUCCCUGCUGUUCCGGAGUGUUGCAGGAAAAAGCAGGCUGCUCUCAGCCUUCCCCAUGCCCACCUCGCUGAGGAAGCUGCCUUGGUAGCAGCCCAAGCCCAGGAACUCUGCUUAUAGCCGCCAGUCUCUGCAGGCAGCGACUGACUGAAGUGAGGAGGGGUCCGGGAGGUGCUGGAGCAAUUCCAAACAGCCUUCCCGAGCUGCUUGAAAGUUUCACAGAGAACAAUUGCUCCCAGCUCCCAGCUCCCAGCUCCCAGCUCCCAGCUCCAAACAAAGUUGCCCAAACAGAGCUGGUGGCAGAGCUGAGCAGACUUAGAGGUGGCAGCAGUUUCCUCAAAGGUGAGUGCAAAGCAGCGGGGGGUGGCGGUGGUAGAUGGGCAAGACAUCAUAUGGGCAGCAGCACUGCUGCCAGAAACCUCAGCCCAUAUGCAGAAUUAAUAGCCCUGAUCAAGGCACUAGAGCUAUCAAAAGGACAAAAAGUAAACAUCUACAUGGAUAGCCGUUAUGCGUUUUUUUUGUUUAAUUUUUUUUUUUAGUUGUUGAAAAAAAAUUUUCGCCUCCUCCCCGUUUCCCAUUUCCCUCCCCCAGCCGCUAUGUGUUUGCAAUGGCCCACAUGCAAGGGGAGAUUUAUAAGAGGCGGGGAUUGUUAACAUCAGCCAGGAAAGGAGAUUAAAAACAAUACUGAAAUCUUGGUGCUAUUGAAGGCCCUCUUUCUGCUCAAAAAAGGUAAGCAUUAUUCAUUGCCCAGGACACCAAAAAAAGGCAAUGACCUUGCAGUCAGAGAAAAUCGUGUGGCGAUAAGGUAGCCAAGCAUGCUGCACUGGGCUUGAGAAUAUUGUCUCUAGUGGAGAUACCAGAUUCUCCAGAGUCAGAGAAUUAGUCCCAAUACUCUGCCCAAGAUCUAGAGACUAUCCAGAAACUUAAUACAGACUUUGAUGAACAACAAAAAGCUUGAAAGUAUCAGGACAAAAUCAUGUUACCCAAGAAGGAUGCCCCUGAGCUGGUCGCCCAAAUGCACCGAUGGACUCAUUUAGGAAAAACAAAUUAAAUCUCUAAUGAAAAAGGUAGAUUUUUUUUUAUAUUCCAGGCCUUAACUCCCUCAUACAGCAGGUAAAGUUGACUUGCGUCCCCUGCACCAAGGUAAAUGCAGGGCGUCAGAAUGCUUCGGAGGGCAUAAGAAUAAGGGGAGACUGACCUGGUACACAUUGGGAAGUAGACUUCACUGAGAUAAAACAUGGAAAAUAUGGUAAUAAAUAUCUCCCAGUUUUUAUAGACACCUUCUCCGGUUGGACAGAAGUUUUUCCCACCAAAUGAGAAAUAGCUCAAUUGGUGGUAAAGAAAAUAAAGAAGAAAUCUUUCUGAGGUUUGGCCUGCCCGAGGUAAUCGGGAUUGUUGAUAAAACUGCCUUGUUGCCCAGAUAAGUCAGGAUGUGGAUAAGACUGAGAAAAAUUACUGACCCCAGAGUUCAGGACAGGUAGAAAAAAAAAAGACCGUCUGGGAAUGACUGGGCAGCGCCCCCCCCCCCUUGUUCCUUUGUCCUGUUCUGGGUCUGAAACCCCCCUUUCAGGAUCCUAUGUAAAACAGUUUAUAAUCCUAAUGCUGUUCUUCCCAGACUGUUAUCUAUCCAUUUGAACCAGCCCGGGCACCUGGAAAUCUCGCAUCCCUUCCAGAAUUGCGACUCCUGGGGUAUAUCUGGAGGGACGUGAGAAAAGAGCAGCAAAAUCUCCACAGCCAGAGCAGCAACCGCCAGCUCACACCUGUUUGCGCCCCAAUCCAGGCCUCCUCAAGCCCUUGCUUUGUUACCCCACCCCUUUUGUAAGGGUCCCUAAGCAUCCCAGAAACUGACUUGGCAGGUUUCCUCACAAACUGGAAAGGUGGUAUGGACCAACUCCAAAACAGUCCCUGAUUUCUGUCAACUAGUAUCCUGGGAUAUCCGAGAUGCACAUCCCCCACAGCUGCCCCUGGAGGCUGGCAGAAGAUUUUCCCCUGUAUGAAAUAUUCAGGGGCAAGCAGCAGGACUGUCUCCAUGGAUGUCGGGAAGGAAUUGGGGCAUGCCAUGGUAUUUCCCAAACAGGAUACAGCAGCAAGAUUUAGGUGCCACCUUCUCCAUUAUGCUAAGAAACAACCAUGCCUCCAAAUUACGACCUACCAUAUAACACCUAUGUUUGAAAAAGCGAAGCUAAGUUACUCACU